UACUCCUACGGGAGGCAGCAGUGGGGAAUAUUGGGCAAUGGGCGCAAGCCUGACCCAGCGACGCCGCGUGAGGGAAGAAGGUCUUCGGAUUGUAAACCUUAGUCAACAGGGAAGUAGCAAGUGACGGUACCUGUGGAGGAAGCCACGGCUAACUACGUGCCAGCAGCCGCGGUA
rnacentral:rRNA from 1 species